CCUCACCUGUUCAAGAUAUACCUUAUAUAAGCAGCCAGCCUCAUUGGGACAAAUCCAGAUCCCACGGCGACUGUGUUUGGUGGUUAUGACAGAUUUUGGCUGCAGGAAGACGUCAGCACCUCCUUCAAUAGGUGUCUCAACAUCCCUCCUUAACAGGAAGGCUACAGCUUCAACCAUUUUACCAUCCGACCAUCUUACCUCUGUGAGCUUUACAGAUCGCACAGGUAUUUUUUCACCUUUUCAUUUGUUUCCAUACUAGCCCCUUUCCCUUGCAGUUUCUUUUCCCACCUUCCUCUUAUUCACCUGUUUUCAUGAUUUCAUUCACAUGCACACACACCCAUAGAUCACUCAUACACUUAUAGUCACAGGAUUAUUAUCAGCUUUUUUUUUUUUUUUUCAUUUGUAUUCCUCUUUCUUCUCUUUUUCACUGUAACAUUCCCCAUAUUUCCUGUUCCCCUUUCAUUUCUUUUCUCCCCUUGUUGUUUUCCAUUUUUCUUUGCUUUCCCACCUCACACUGCUGCUCUACCACAUCCCUUUUAUAUACACUUCCACAUUUUUCACUAGACCACACACUGCAUUCUUCAUUGUUAUUCAGUCACUUACACACCUUCUUUGCUUUAUGUACUUUUACCAGGCUCAUUAUUUUUGGUUUGUUUUCACUCUUUGUCCUAUUGUUGUUUUGUUGUUUCCCCUCAUUCCCACAUCUCUUUUUCUCCCCUGUGCAUCUCCCUCACGCAAUUUCCAUGCCUACACAUCAGGCUUCUUGUUCAGCCUGGCGUGUACUCAUAUAUUUACCAUUUUUAUUUU